rnacentral:rRNA from 1 species
GUGGCGAACGGGUGAGUAAUGCAUCGGAACGUGCCAUUGAGUGGGGGAUAACGUAGCGAAAGUUGCGCUAAUACCGCAUAUUCUGUGAGCAGGAAAGCAGGGGACCGCAAGGCCUUGCGCUCUUUGAGCGGCCGAUGUCAGAUUAGCUAGUUGGUGAGGUAAAGGCUUACCAAGGCGACGAUCUGUAGCGGGUCUGAGAGGAUGAUCCGCCACACUGGAACUGAGACACGGUCCAGACUCCUACGGGAGGCAGCAGUGGGGAAUUUUGGACAAUGGGGGCAACCCUGAUCCAGCCAUGCCGCGUGAGUGAAGAAGGCCUUCGGGUUGUAAAGCUCUUUCGGCCGGGAAGAAAUCGCAUGGGCCAAUACCCUGUGUGGAUGACGGUACCGGAAUAAGAAGCACCGGCUAACUACGUGCCAGCAGCCGCGGUAAUACGUAGGGUGCGAGCGUUAAUCGGAAUUACUGGGCGUAAAGCGUGCGCAGGCGGUUUUGUAAGACAGGCGUGAAAUCCCCGGGCUUAACCUGGGAACUGCGUUUGUGACUGCAAGGCUAGAGUACGGCAGAGGGGGGUGGAAUUCCACGUGUAGCAGUGAAAUGCGUAGAGAUGUGGAGGAACACCAAUGGCGAAGGCAGCCCCCUGGGUCGAUACUGACGCUCAUGCACGAAAGCGUGGGUAGCAAACAGGAUUAGAUACCCUGGUAGUCCACGCCCUAAACUAUGUCAACUAGGUGUUGGGUGGGUAAGACCAUUUAGUACCGUAGCUAACGCGUGAAGUUGACCGCCUGGGGAGUACGGCCGCAAGGUUAAAACUCAAAGGAAUUGACGGGGACCCGCACAAGCGGUGGAUGAUGUGGAUUAAUUCGAUGCAACGCGAAAAAACCUUACCUACCCUUGACAUGCCAGGAACUUGCCAGAGAUGGCUUGGUGCCCGAAAGGGAGCCUGGACACAGGUGCUGCAUGGCUGUCGUCAGCUCGUGUCGUGAGAUGUUGGGUUAAGUCCCGCAACGAGCGCAACCCUUGUCGUUAAUUGCCAUCAUUUAGUUGGGCACUUUAACGAGACUGCCGGUGACAAACCGGAGGAAGGUGGGGAUGACGUCAAGUCCUCAUGGCCCUUAUGAGUAGGACUUCACACGUCAUACAAUGGUCGGUACAAAGGGUUGCCAAGCCGCGAGGCGGAGCCAAUCCCAGAAAGCCGAUCGUAGUCCGGAUUGCAGGCUGCAACUCGCCUGCAUGAAGUCGGAAUCGCUAGUAAUCGUGGAUCAGCAUGUCACGGUGAAUACGUUCCCGGGUCUUGUACACACCGCCCGUCACACCAUGGGAGCGGGUUCCGCCAGAAGUAGGUAGCCUAACCGCAAGGGGGGCGCUUACCACGGCGGGGUUCGUGACUGGGGUGAAGUCGUAACAAGGUA